rnacentral:rRNA from 1 species
ACGCACGCUGGCGGCGUGCUUAACACAUGCAAGUCGAACGGAAAGGCCCUGCUUUUGUGGGGUGCUCGAGUGGCGAACGGGUGAGUAACACGUGAGUAACCUGCCCUUGACUUUGGGAUAACUUCAGGAAACUGGGGCUAAUACCGGAUAGGAGCUCCUGCUGCAUGGUGGGGGUUGGAAAGUUUCGGCGGUUGGGGAUGGACUCGCGGCUUAUCAGCUUGUUGGUGGGGUAGUGGCUUACCAAGGCUUUGACGGGUAGCCGGCCUGAGAGGGUGACCGGCCACAUUGGGACUGAGAUACGGCCCAGACUCCUACGGGAGGCAGCAGUGGGGAAUAUUGCACAAUGGGCGGAAGCCUGAUGCAGCAACGCCGCGUGCGGGAUGACGGCCUUCGGGUUGUAACCCGCUUUCGCCUGUGACGAAGCGUGAGUGACGGUAAUGGGUAAAGAAGCACCGGCUAACUACGUG